rnacentral:rRNA from 1 species
ACGCUCGACACCUACGGGAGCAGCAGUCGGGAAUAUUGCGCAAUGGAGGAAACUCUGACGCAGUGACGCCGCGUGCAGGAAGAAGGUUUUCGGAUUGUAAACUGCUUUAGACAGGGAAGAAAGAAAUGACAGUACCUGUAGAAUAAGCUCCGGCUAACUACGUACCAGCAGCCGCGGUAAUCUGAGCGGGCUGGCAAGGC